AGCGUAAUAGCUCACUGGUCGAGUCGGCCUGCGCGGAAGAUGUAACGGGGCUAAACCAUGCACCGAAGCUGCGGCAGCGAACGUAUCACUUAAAGCGAUUCAGCGGGUUACGAUUGACGGAGCGAAGCGACGUCAAAGCGUAUACAAAGUCGAGUCGGUUUAAGGUGUGUUGUUGGGUAGGGGAGCGUUCUGUAAGCCUGUGAAGGUGGCCUGUGAGGGUUGCUGGAGGUAUCAGAAGUGCGAAUGCUGACAUAAGUAACGAUAAAGCGGGUGAAAAGCCCGCUCGCCGGAAGACCAAGGGUUCCUGUCCAACGUUAAUCGGGGCAGGGUGAGUCGACCCCUAAGGCGAGGCCGAAAGGCGUAGUCGAUGGGAAACAGGUUAAUAUUCCUGUACUUGGUGUUACUGCGAAGGGGGGACGGAGAAGGCUAUGUUGGCCGGGCGACGGUUGUCCCGGUUUAAGCGUGUAGGCUGGUUUUCC
rnacentral:rRNA from 1 species